GAAGUACUCCCUUCGUCUCAAAAUUCUUGUCUUAGAUUUGUUUAAAUACGUAUGUAUCAAGUCAUGUUUUAUUAUUAGAUACAUUUAUAUCUAGACGAAUCUAAGACAAGAAUUUUGAGACGGAGGGAGUACGUA
rfam:Triticum aestivum genome assembly, contig: Triticum_aestivum_CS42_TGACv1_scaffold_470958_6AL